AUUAGAUUAAAAACCAAUGCCCUUCGGGGCUCUCUGGUGAUUCAUGAUAACUUCUCGAAUCGCAUGGCCUUGCGCCGGCGAUGGUUCAUUCAAAUUUCUUCCCUAUCAACUUUCGAUGUUUGGGUAUUGGCCAAACAUGGUUGCAACGGGUAACGGAGGGUUAGGGCUCGACCCCGGAGAAGGAGCCUGAGAAACGGCUACUACAUCCAAGGAAGGCAGCAGGCGCGCAAAUUACCCAAUCCCGACUCGGGGAGGUAGUGACAAUAAAUACUGAUACAGGGUUCUUUCGGAUCUUGUAAUUGGAAUGAGUACAAUUUAAAUCCCUUAACGAGGAACAAUUGGAGGGCAAGUCUGGUGCCAGCAGCCGCGGUAAUUCCAGCUCCAAUAGCGUAUAUUAAAGUUGUUGUGGUUAAAAAGCUCGUAGUUGAACCUUGGGCCUGGCUGGCCGGUCCGCCUCACCGCGUGUACUGGUCCGGCCGGGCUUUCCCUCUGUGGAACCCUAUGCCCUUCACUGGG
rnacentral:rRNA from 1 species